rnacentral:tRNA from 1 species
GCCGACGUGGCACAACCUGGUACUGCGCAAGACUGGAAAUCUUGUUUCCGCAAGGAUAUCCCGGUUCAAAUCCGGGCGUCGGCG